rfam:Ricinus communis cultivar Hale ctg_1100012323030, whole genome shotgun sequence.
GGGUGCGAUCAUACCAGCACAAAUGCACCGGAUCCCAUCAGAACUCCGAAGUUAAACGUGCUUGGGCGAGAGUAGUACUAAGAUGGGUGUCCUCUUGGGAAGUCCUCGUGUUGCACCCU